AUAAAAAGACUUUCGAAUAUAUACUAUAUGAACUUCUUUACGUUCGAGUAUGCGCAAAUAUUUGAUACUUGCAUGGUCAAAUGUAGGCUUUAAUUUAUGGGUACAGCAAAACUCAAUAAUGUUUGUCAAAAAAUUCUCUGUAUGUAUCACGAAAUUCACUAAGUAUAUACAUAAAUUAAAUUCAGGCCUCAAUUAUUAAAACUUGAGAUUGUCCUAAAAUCAAGAACCCACAGAAUUUUAAUGUUAGAUCUAUACCUUUGUAGGUACCGAGCACGUAAAUUUUGGGGCCUAUGGCACUGGCCUUACUUGUGAUUAGGUAAGAGCCGACCCAGAACAACAAAAAUUAUAUAACAUGUUUAAGAUCACUGUAAAUUUUGGGGCUAUGGCACUGGCCUUACUUGUGAUUAGGUAAGAGCCGACUAGAACAACAAAAAUUAUAUAACAUGUUUAAGAUCACAGAUUUUAACGAUUUUAUAGCCAUUGUGCUCAGUCACCAGUCAAAUACGUUCACAUAACUUGAAAGAGAUAGAGUAUAAGUUAGAUAAAUUUAAUUGUUAAAAUCUGAUAUGAAAAGGAGGCCUAAAAUUAAUCAUCUAUGAAAACUUACCAGGGCAAGUGAAAAGAGCAGGAUAAGAGCAACAGGCAGUUUCAUGGUCACUUCACUAUGAAUAUGUAUGACUCAGAAGCUAUUGUUAUUGGUCUUUGCUUGAAGCAUAUUAUGGGUUUAUAUAGAUAGGUUAAGCUAUUAUGAAAUCACAUUGUAGGUAACAAGUUUGUCAAGCUUCAACAUGAUUCACACACUCACGAGAGACGUACAAUUAUCAUAUACAAAUAUGAGAAGGCCCCAGGCCCCCAACUAGCUUCUUUGGCACAUAUAUUAAUGGUGACCCAAUAACUUAAGUAGGCUCCAUUUGCUAAAAAAU
rnacentral:lncRNA from 1 species